CCACACAGGUUUAAUUUAUUUAUCUGCCUCCCCCAGCCCAGGAGGGACCAGGAACGUGGGGUUAGGUCCAAUGGGCUUAGCUCCAGAGGCUGGUCCCAGCUCCCGGGGCCGGUCCCAGCUCCCGGGGGGCCGGUCCCAGCUCCCGGGGGCAGUCCCAGCUCCGGGGGCCGGUCCCAGCUCCGGGGCCGGUCCCAGCUCCCGGGGCCGGUCCCAGCACAGGCUCAGCUCUCGGGGCCGGGCGCGUUCUCCCGCUCACGGCGGUGCUGGAGCAUCCUCUGCACACGGACGCUGCACAGGUACCCGGCGUACACCGUCAGCAGCAUCAUGGAGCCCGAGAAGGCCUU